rnacentral:rRNA from 1 species
AUUGAACGCUGGCGGCAGGCCUAACACAUGCAAGUCGAACGAGUGGCGGACGGGUGAGUAAUGUCUGGGAAACUGCCCGAUGGAGGGGGAUAACUACUGGAAACGGUAGCUAAUACCGCAUACCAUCGGAUGUGCCCAGAUGGGAUUAGCUAGUGGGUGGGGUAAUGGCUCACCUAGGCGACGAUCGCUAGCUGGUCUGAGAGGGUGACGGGCCACACUGGAACUGGGACACGGUCCAGAACCCGACGGGAGGCAGCAGUGGGGAAUAUUGCACAAGGGGGGCAAGCCGGGUGCAGCCAUGCGGCGUGUAUGAAGAAGGCCUUCGGGUUGUAAAGUACUUUCAGCGGGGGGGCGGUACUCGCAGAAGAAGCAUCGGCUAACUCCGUGCCAGCAGCCGCGGUAAUAC